rnacentral:rRNA from 1 species
GACGAACGCUGGCGGCGUGCUUAACACAUGCAAGUCGAACGGAAAGGCCCUGCUUUUGUGGGGUGCUCGAGUGGCGAACGGGUGAGUAACACGUGAGUAACCUGCCCUUGACUUUAGGAUAACUUCGGGAAACUGGGGCUAAUACCGGAUAGGAGCUCCUGCUGCAUGGUGGGGGUUGGAAAGUUUCGGCGGUUGGGGAUGGACUCGCGGCUUAUCAGCUUGUUGGUGGGGUAGUGGCUUACCAAGGCUUUGACGGGUAGCCGGCCUGGGAGGGUGACCGGCCACAUUGGGACUGAGAUACGGCCCAGACUCCUACGGGAGGCAGCAGUGGGGAAUAUUGCACAAUGGGCGGAAGCCUGAUGCAGCAACGCCGCGGGCGGGAUGACGGCCUUCGGGUUGUAAACCGCUUUCGCCUGUGACGAAGCGUGAGUGACGGUAAUGGGUAAAGAAGCACCGGCUAACUACGUG